GCCGGGUGUGGUGGUGCACGCCUGUAAUCCCAGCUACUUGGGAGGCUGAGGCAGAAGAAUCACUUGAACCUGGGAGGUGGAGGUUGCAGUGAGCCAAGAUCACUCCACUGCACUCCAGCCUGGGCGACAGAGUGAGACUCUGUCUCAA
ensembl:misc_RNA Metazoa_SRP Metazoan signal recognition particle RNA